GACGAACCGUGCGAACGUUGUUCGGAAUCACUGGGCUUAAAGGGCGCGUAGGCGGGCUGCCAAGUCCGGGGUGAAAGCCCUCCGCUCAACGGAGGAAUGGCCUUGGAUACUGGCGGUCUUGAGGACGGUAGAGGCGUGUGGAAUUCCGGGUGUAGUGGUGAAAUGCGUAGAGAUCCGGAGGAACACCAGUGGCGAAGGCGACACGCUGGGCCGUACCUGACACUGAUGCGCGACAGCAUGGGGAGCAAACAGG
rnacentral:rRNA from 1 species